rnacentral:misc_RNA from 1 species
AAGUCGUAACAAGGUUUCCGUAGGUGAACCUGCGGAAGGAUCAUUAUCGAGGAUUUGGUUUUAAAACCGCCCUCCUACCCUAUGUUUACAAGCCUGUUGCUUCGGCGAGUCGUCUUUAAUUAGCCAUCGGCCUUUUGGGCGGAUGUGCACUCGCCGAAGAACUAUUUAAAACACUUUUUGAAAGUUGUCUGAAACCUAAAAUUGAAAAAUAAAAACUUUCAACAACGGAUCUCUUGGUUCUG